rnacentral:rRNA from 1 species
ACCAGUACCGUGAGGGAAAGGCGAAAAGAACCCCGGCGAGGGGAGUGAAAAAGAACCUGAAACCGUGUACGUACAAGCAGUGGGAGCACCCUUCGGGGUGUGACUGCGUACCUUUUGUAUAAUGGGUCAGCGACUUAUAUUCUGUAGCAAGGUUAACCGUAUAGGGGAGCCGGAGGGAAACCGAGUCUUAAUUGGGCGUUAAGUUGCAGGGUAUAGACCCGAAACCCGGUGAUCUAGCCAUGGGCAGGUUGAAGGUUGGGUAACACUAACUGGAGGACCGAACCGACUAAUGUUGAAAAAUUAGCGGAUGACCUGUGGCUGGGGGUGAAAGGCCAAUCAAACCGGGAGAUAGCUGGUUCUCCCCGAAAGCUAUUUAGGUAGCGCCUCGUGAAUUCAUCUCCGGGGGUAGAGCACUGUUUCGGCUAGGGGGCCAUCCCGGCUUACCAACCCGAUGCAAACUGCGAAUACCGGAGAAUGUUAUCACGGGAGACACACGGCGGGUGCUAACGUCCGUCGUGAAGAGGGAAACAACCCAGACCGCCAGCUAAGGUCCCAAAGUCAUGGUUAAGUGGGAAACGAUGUGGGAAGGCCCAGACAGCCAGGAUGUUGGCUUAGAAGCAGCCAUCAUUUAAAGAAAGCGUAAUAGCUCACUGGUCGAGUCGGCCUGCGCGGAAGAUGUAACGGGGCUAAACCAUGCACCGAAGCUGCGGCAGCGAACGUAUCACCCAAGACAACUUUACGGAGUUGACGAUUGACGGAGCGAAGCGACGUCAAAGCGUUCAUUAAAGUCGAGUUGGCUUAGGGAUACGUUCGUUGGGUAGGGGAGCGUUCUGUAAGCCUGUGAAGGUGUGUCGUGAGGCAUGCUGGAGGUAUCAGAAGUGCGAAUGCUGACAUAAGUAACGAUAAAGCGGGUGAAAAGCCCGCUCGCCGGAAGACCAAGGGUUCCUGUCCAACGUUAAUCGGGGCAGGGUGAGUCGACCCCUAAGGCGAGGCCGAAAGGCGUAGUCGAUGGGAAACGGGUUAAUAUUCCCGUACUUGGUGUUACUGCGAAGGGGGGACGGAGAAGGCUAUGUUGGCCGGGCGACGGUUGUCCCGGUUUAAGCGUGUAGGUGUGUGUUCCAGGUAAAUCCGGUUCACUUUAACACUGAGGCGUGACGACGAGGCACUACGGUGCUGAAGCAACAAAUGCCCUGCUUCCAGGAAAAGCCUCUAAGCAUCAGGUAACACGAAAUCGUACCCCAAACCGACACAGGUGGUCAGGUAGAGAAUACCAAGGCGCUUGAGAGAACUCGGGUGAAGGAACUAGGCAAAAUGGUGCCGUAACUUCGGGAGAAGGCACGCUGACACGUAGGUGAAGUGAUUUACUCAUGGAGCUGAAGUCAGUCGAAGAUACCAGCUGGCUGCAACUGUUUAUUAAAAACACAGCACUGUGCAAACACGAAAGUGGACGUAUACGGUGUGACGCCUGCCCGGUGCCGGAAGGUUAAUUGAUGGGGUCAGCGUAAGCGAAGCUCCUGAUCGAAGCCCCGGUAAACGGCGGCCGUAACUAUAACGGUCCUAAGGUAGCGAAAUUCCUUGUCGGGUAAGUUCCGACCUGCACGAAUGGCGUAAUGAUGGCCAGGCUGUCUCCACCCGAGACUCAGUGAAAUUGAACUCGCUGUGAAGAUGCAGUGUACCCGCGGCAAGACGGAAAGACCCCGUGAACCUUUACUAUAGCUUGACACUGAACAUUGAGCCUUGAUGUGUAGGAUAGGUGGGAGGCUUUGAAGUGUGGACGCCAGUCUGCAUGGAGCCGACCUUGAAAUACCACCCUUUAAUGUUUGAUGUUCUAACGUGGACCCGUAAUCCGGGUUGCGGACAGUGUCUGGUGGGUAGUUUGACUGGGGCGGUCUCCUCCUAAAGAGUAACGGAGGAGCACGAAGGUUGGCUAAUCCUGGUCGGACAUCAGGAGGUUAGUGCAAUGGCAUAAGCCAGCUUGACUGCGAGCGUGACGGCGCGAGCAGGUGCGAAAGCAGGUCAUAGUGAUCCGGUGGUUCUGAAUGGAAGGGCCAUCGCUCAACGGAUAAAAGGUACUCCGGGGAUAACAGGCUGAUACCGCCCAAGAGUUCAUAUCGACGGCGGUGUUUGGCACCUCGAUGUCGGCUCAUCACAUCCUGGGGCUGAAGUAGGUCCCAAGGGUAUGGCUGUUCGCCAUUUAAAGUGGUACGCGAGCUGGGUUUAGAACGUCGUGAGACAGUUCGGUCCCUAUCUGCCGUGGGCGCUGGAGAACUGAGGGGGGCUGCUCCUAGUACGAGAGGACCGGAGUGGACGCAUCACUGGUGUUCGGGUUGUCAUGCCAAUGGCACUGCCCGGUAGCUAAAUGCGGAAGAGAUAAGUGCUGAAAGCAUCUAAGCACGAAACUUGCCCCGAGAUGAGUUCUCCCUGAGACUUAGAGUCUCCUGAAGGAACGUUGAAGACGACGACGUUGAUAGGCCGGGUGUGUAAGCGCAGCGAUGCGUUGAGCUAACCGGUACUAAUGAACCGUGAGGCUUAACCUU